GUCGGGGUAGCUCAACUGGUUAGAGCGUAUGUAUAUCCUCACAAUACAUAAAGAUAAUGGUUCGAAUCCGUUUCCCGGCUC
rnacentral:tRNA from 1 species